AAACUUUAAACCUCAUAACUAGUUUACUUUAAAACGAAAAUUUUAUGAAUUAAUAUAAAUUCCCAAUUCUUUUUACAUAUUCAUAAUUAUGAAUACCAAAUUCCUAUAGUUACAUUUUUCAGGGUAUUACACGUGUAAUGCUGGUUAUAAAAAGGGUCAUUCGCGCGCGGAUAAUAAUGUGAUUAAAUUAGUUGUUAAAUGAUUGUUUAUUUAUUUAUUUUAAAAACAAUAUAAUCUACACUAGGGGAGAGGAGAGUGGACUUAGCCUCACAAUGAGCUAGCAAUAAUGUGAUUCAAUAAGUUGUUAUUAAAUAUUAUUUUCUCUAUUUUAAACACGUUUAAAACAUCUUAAGAGGCGUGUAAUGCCGGUUAUAAAAAAAAA
rnacentral:lncRNA from 1 species